AAUAUUGAACUUUGGGGCCUGUGUAAAGGCCAAAAGCUUUAAAGCCCCGGACUCAAAGUUCACAAGUUAACAAGAAGGCGUGAAAAAAUGCCCACAGGGGGGGCCUUCUCAAACCCCCAGGGCGAAGGCGGCCCACUUGAGAAACACUAAAGAGAUAUUGGGCCUUUGGAAUAUUCACAAGGUAAUAUGAAAGAUGUUAAAAGGGUUGGAGAAUAUUUCCCAGCGAAUUCCCAUAGAGAAGGGGUGCCAAAAAAUUUUCCGUUUAGAAUUAAAUUUCGGGUGAAAGGAAACCCGACCACAGUUCGCGCGAAAACGCCCAGGCUCUCCGAACCUGGAGAACCUGGGGUAAGUAGGAACCGGCCUGGAAGGUUUCCGGAAAAAGGCCUUGGGGGAAGCCAAAACCAGGGAACUUAGGAAUUACACCUUGGCUUAGUUCCCACCGCCACGUUAAAACCGAAUUGAAUAAACUUAGACUUGUUCAGGGGUCACCAUGCGUGUUUUUGGUGGCGCAGCUAACGCAUUAAGUUAUCCGCCUGGGGAGUAGCGGUCGCAAGAAUUAGAGAAUCUCAAAUGGAAAUUGACGGGGGCCUGCACAAAGCAGGUGGAGCAGUGUGGUUUAAUUCGAAGCAACGCAGCAGAACCUUACCCAUACGUUUUGACAUCCCCUACUCGCGGAUCUGUGGAGACACUUUCUAACAGCUCUCGGCUGGAUAGGUGACAGUGCUGUAAAGGCGUCG
rnacentral:rRNA from 1 species